UCGGGAAUUUUGGGCAAUGGGCGAAAGCCUGACCCAGCAACGCCGCGUGAAGGAUGAAGUAUUUCGGUAUGUAAACUUCGAAAGAAUAGGAAGAAUAAAUGACGGUACUAUUUAUAAGGUCCGGCUAACUACGUGCCAGCAGCCGCGGUAAUACGUAGGGACCAAGCGUUGUUCGGAUUUACUGGGCGUAAAGGGCGCGUAGGCGGCUUGACAAGUCACUUGUGAAAUCUCUGGGCUUAACCCAGAACGGCCAAGUGAAACUGUCAUGCUAGAGUGCAGAAGGGGCAAUCGGAAUUCUUGGUGUAGCGGUGAAAUGCGUAGAUAUCAAGAGGAAUACCGGUGGCGAAGGCGGCAUCCUGGACCAUUACUGACGCUGAGGCGCGAAAGCUAGGGGAGCAAACGGGAUUAGAUACCCCCGUAGUCCCUGAGCGGGCUGGCAAGGCGCAU
rnacentral:rRNA from 1 species